rnacentral:rRNA from 1 species
GAUGAACGCUAGCGGCAGGCCUAAUACAUGCAAGUCGAACGGGAUCCAGAUCAAAGCUUGCUUUGGUUUGGUGAGAGUGGCGCACGGGUGCGUAACGCGUGAGCAACCUACCCUUGUCAGGGGGAUAGCCCGGCGAAAGUCGGAUUAAUACCGCAUGACAUCAUUGAGAGGCAUCUUUCGAUGAUCAAAGAUUUAUCGGACAAGGAUGGGCUCGCGUGACAUUAGCUAGUUGGUAAGGUAACGGCUUACCAAGGCUACGAUGUCUAGGGGCUCUGAGAGGAGAAUCCCCCACACUGGUACUGAGACACGGAUCAGACUCCUACGGGAGGCAGCAGUAAGGAAUAUUGGUCAAUGGACGGAAGUCUGAACCAGCCAUGCCGCGUGCAGGAAGACGGCCCUAUGGGUUGUAAACUGCUUUUAUACGGGAACAAACGUCGGUACGUGUACCGGUCUGAGUGUACCGUAAGAAUAAGGAUCGGCUAACUCCGUG